rnacentral:rRNA from 1 species
AACGAACGCUGGCGGCAUGCCUAACACAUGCAAGUCGAACGAGACCUUCGGGUCUAGUGGCGCACGGGUGCGUAACGCGUGGGAACCUGCCCUUAGGUUCGGAAUAACUCCCCGAAAGGGGUGCUAAUACCGGAUAAUGUCUUCGGACCAAAGAUUUAUCGCCUUUGGAUGGGCCCGCGUUGGAUUAGCUAGUUGGUAGGGUAAAAGCCUACCAAGGCGACGAUCCAUAGCUGGUCUGAGAGGAUGAUCAGCCACACUGGGACUGAGACACGGCCCAGACUCCUACGGGAGGAAGCAGUGGGGAAUAUUGGACAAGGGGCGAAAGCCUGAUCCAGCAAUGCCGGGUGAGUGAUGAAGGCCUUAGGGUUGUAAAGCUCUUUUACCCGGGAUGAUAAUGACAGUACCGGGAGAAUAAGCCCCGGCUAACUCCGUG